CGGCCAGUUGGGCUUGUUGGGUGGCCCACCAGACUGUAAAUCUGGCGCCUUCGGGCAUCGCAGGUUCGAUUCCUGCCUGGCCGAC
rnacentral:tRNA from 1 species